AGAGUUUGAUCCUGGCUCAGGAUGAACCGCGGGCGGCGUGCCUUAUACAUGCGAGUCGAACGCUUUGUCUUUAAUUGAUCUGAAGAGCUUGCUCUGAUUUGAUUUUAUCUGACAAAGAGUGGCGCACGGGUGAGUAAUCACCGUGGGUAACCUACCUCUUAGCAGGGGAUUACAUUUUGGAAACAAGUGCUAAUACCGUAUAAUACCAACAACCGCAUGGUUGUUGGUUGAUAAGAUGGUUCUGCUAUCAUCUAAGAGAUGGAUCCCGCGGUGCAUUAGCUAGUUGGUAAGGUAACGGCUUACCAAGGCAAUGAUGCAUAGCCGAGUUGAGAGACUGAUCGGCCACAAUGGGACUGAGACACGGCCCAUACUCCUACGGGAGGCAGCAGUAGGGAAUCUUCCACAAUGGGCGCAAGCCUGAUGGAGCAACGCCGCGUGUGUGAUGAAGGGUUUCGGCUCGUAAAACACUGUUAUAAGAGAAGAACGGCACUGAGAGUAACUGUUCAGUGUGUGACGGUAUCUUACCAGAAAGGAACGGCUAAAUACGUGCCAGCAGCCGCGGUAAUACGUAUGUUCCAAGCGUUAUCCGGAUUUAUUGGGCGUAAAGCGAGCGCAGACGGUUAUUUAAGUCUGAAGUGAAAGCCCUCAGCUCAACUGAGGAAUGGCUUUGGAAACUGGAUGACUUGAGUGCAGUAGAGGAAAGUGGAACUCCAUGUGUAGCGGUGAAAUGCGUAGAUAUAUGGAAGAACACCAGUGGCGAAGGCGGCUUUCUGGACUGUAACUGACGUUGAGGCUCGAAAGUGUGGGUAGCAAACAGGAUUAGAUACCCUGGUAGUCCACACCGUAAACGAUGAGUGCUAGAUGUUCGAGGGUUUCCGC
rnacentral:rRNA from 1 species